UACAGAGGUGGCAAGCGUUGUUCGGAAUUACUGGGCGUAAAGCGUGCGCAGGCGGUUCGUUGUGUCUGAUGUGAAAGCCCCGGGCUCAACCUGGGAAUGGCAUUGGAAACUGGCGAGCUAGAGUGUGGCAGAGGGGGGUGGAAUUCCGCGUGUAGCAGUGAAAUGCGUAGAGAUGCGGAGGAACACCGAUGGCGAAGGCAGCCCCCUGGGCUAGCACUGACGCUCAGGCACGAAAGCGUGGGGAGCAAACAGG
rnacentral:rRNA from 1 species